rnacentral:misc_RNA from 1 species
GUGAGAGUUGGAUGCAACAAUUCCUUCUUUACUUUUAUCCCUCAACAAACAUGGUUCCAAAACGCUUCUUUCUGCUGUGGAGAACUCACUGAGCUGUAGUUUCUCUUUCAGAUACAGAUGAAGAUUCUCAUCAACACUUUCAGAAUUUCUGCUAUCUUUAUAUUCUCUGCCAUGAGUGCCUUCCCCAUUUAAGUCAUCUUUUGGUGAAGCCAUUUUUCUGAUCGAAGUGAUUGCUCUCCUCUUAUGGGCUGGUUCUACAACCGCCAUGUCUGUGAGACAGUCCAUUUUGCCUGCCUGCAUUCCUUUCUUUGUGUUACUAGAACGUUUUGCUCUGUGAAAGGAUUGGCUUUCCAUCUUUGUGCUUUUCUGUGUCUUCGACAGACGUCGCCUCGUCGAUACUAAGCUUUUUGAUGGAGUUAAAUCAGAGUGGCGAUUGCCAUGAAUUGAACAAUAACUAUAUGUGCACACUUUCAUGGCUGAAAUUCCUUCAGAGUCACUUCCUCCUGAUUGAAGCUCAGGAAACUUGGAAUCCUUCAGAACUGAAGAACACGUGGCUUUAUGCAUGCUUGAGUCAAGUAUUUGAGAACAUUUCUUCAUGGGAGACCUCUUGGCUCCUGUACUGUUCAUUUUUGUUAAGAUCCUUCGAGGUCUCAAAGAAGACGUUCUGGUUAUGACCCUCGUCGAUCGAUUUGUUAACAGCAGCUAAAUUUGGCCUUAAAUUACUUGAACUUCUCCUACUUUUAUCAUUGCUAAAUAAACAGAAC